ACAAAGGGCAGCAAGUUAGCGAGGACAAGCAAAUCCCAUAAACCGUGGCUCAGUUCAGAUCGUAGGCUGCAACUCGCCUACGUGAAGGAGGAAUCGCUAGUAAUCGCAGGUCAGCAUACUGCGGUGAAUACGUUCCCGGGCCUUGUACACACCGCCCGUCACACCAUGGAAGUUGGCCACGCCCGAAGCCGUUACUCCAACCCUUGUGGAGGAGGACGUCGAAGGUGGGGCUGAUGACUGGGGUGAAGUCGUAACAAGGUAUCCGUACCGGAAGGUGCGGAUGGAUCACCUCCUAAC
rnacentral:rRNA from 1 species